GGUCAAGCUACUAAGGGCGCAUGGUGGAUGCCUUGGCAGAAGACGGCGAUGAAGGACGUGGCAAGCUGCGAUAAGCCUCGGGGAGCCGCAAGCAGGCUUUGAUCCGGGGAUUUCCGAAUGGGGAAACCCACGGGGGUAAAACCUCCGUACGGCCCGAUGAAUCCAUAGUCGGGCACGAGCAAACCCAGGGAAGUGAACCAUCUCAGUACCUGGAGGAAAAGAAAGAAACCUCGAUUGCGAAAGUAGUGGCGAGCGAAAUCGCAAGAGCCUAAACCUGUUCCACCCUCGGGUGUGACAGGGGUUGUAGGGUCUGCAACAGUAGAGUUACCAAUCCGGUCGUUAGUCGAAGUCCUCUGGAAAGAGGAGCCACAGAGUGUGAUAGCCACGUAGGCGAAAACGAACCGGACUCGAAGCAGAUACCUGAGUACCGCGGGGCACGAGAAACCCUGCGGGAAGCUACGGGGACCAUCCCGUAAGGCUAAAUACGUUCUUCUGACCGAUAGUGAACCAGUACCGUGAGGGAAAGGUGAAAAGAACCCCUGCGAGGGGAGUGAAAUAGUACCUGAAACCGUGUGCCUACAAACGGUGGGAGGACUAUGUCCACGCAAGUGGAAAUUGUCUGACCGCGUGCCUAUUGCAUAAUGAGCCGGCUAGUUAUUCUUGUCAGCAAGGUUAAGCGUAAGCGAGCCGCAGCGAAAGCGAGUCCUAAUAGGGCGACAAAGUUGGCAGGAAUAGACGCGAAGCGGGAUGAUCUACCCUUGGCCAGGCUGAAAGUAGGGUAAAACCUACUGGAGGGCCGAACGGGUGUUUGUUGAAAAAAGCUCCGAUGAGCUGAGGGUAGGGGUGAAAGGCUAAUCAAAUUCCGUGAUAGCUCGUUCUCUCCGAAAUAGCUUUAGGGCUAGCCUCGUGUGAUUUGUCGUGGUGGUAGA
rnacentral:rRNA from 1 species